GACCCGCAGCUGCCCGCCGGCCUCCUGGCCACCCUUGACCAUCCUCAGGAGUUUGAUGCCCACGUGGGACACAGCUAGGAGCUGCACACCAGUGCCCACGCUGCCCUGGGGCAGAGAUGAAGGGCGUGUGAGGAUCCUCUUGUCUCAUCCCUGAAUCCUCUGGACAGAGAUGCGAAGGCAGGCCUCGGAGAGCGUGUCGUGCAGGAUCUGUGGGAACAGGCUGUGAUGCAGGCAGCACAUGGGACUCCCCCAGCCGGGACCCAGGCUGGACUAUACUAGGCCCUGCUGAGUUCACUGAGGCAGAAAGGGGAGACAGGACCUCACCUGCCGGAACAGGAGGUCAAGCUGCACAGGAUGGCUGUAGCUGUCCUUGGG